ACGUACACUCCUGCGGGAGGCAGCAGUGGGGAAUUUUGGACAAUGGGCGAAAGCCUGAUCCAGCCAUGCCGCGUGCAGGAUGAAGGCCUUCGGGUUGUAAACUGCUUUUGUACGGAACGAAACGGCCUUUUCUAAUAAAGAGGGCUAAUGACGGUACCGUAAGAAUAAGCACCGGCUAACUACGUGCCAGCAGCCGCGGUAAUACGUAGGGUGCAAGCGUUAAUCGGAAUUACUGGGCGUAAAGCGUGCGCAGGCGGUUAUGUAAGACAGUUGUGAAAUCCCCGGGCUCAACCUGGGAACUGCAUCUGUGACUGCAUAGCUAGAGUACGGUAGAGGGGGAUGGAAUUCCGCGUGUAGCAGUGAAAUGCGUAGAUAUGCGGAGGAACACCGAUGGCGAAGGCAAUCCCCUGGACCUGUACUGACGCUCAUGCACGAAAGCGUGGGGAGCAAACAGGAUUAGAUACCCGGGUAGUCCCAUG
rnacentral:rRNA from 1 species